AUUCAGGCCCUGCGGUCAGCCCAGUGUGGACUCAGAGGUUCAGAUUCAUGUGUGGGGUUCUUCCGGUCUGCCCAGAAGUACUCUGAACACCCCAAACAAGCAAACAUCUCAGCUCCAGGUCUGAGGAGGGGAUUGUCUUUGAAGUGGUUCAAUUAAGGUAUGAUACAUAUUCAAAAUUGCUUUUUAUUUAAAAAAAUUUCUCAUGAGUUUG
rnacentral:lncRNA from 1 species